GGCGCAACACUCAGGCCCCUCCCUUCUUCUUUCUUCUUCUUCAUUUUUCCAAAGAUACACACAGAUAUCCCCUCAAAAAACGAAAAAGCAGCCUUUCCUUCAUGAUAUCCAAAAUUAGAUACCCUUCCCAUUAGAGACCAGGCGUCGUUUCCUUGAAAAAACAGAGAGAGAACAGAACUCCAUCUCCAACACCUUCAGUUGCCUCAACAGCCGUCUCCCUCGUUUUCUGCUUCGCUUCUGUCGUCGGCGAACUCACCAGAAACAUAAGAGUUGCGGUGCACUCCCCCUUCCAUCUCUCACCUUCUCACGAAUUUUCUAAGUUCAAAAGGGAUUCUCAAAUCUGAAAAUUUCAAAAAAAAAAAAGAAGAAGAAGCUGUGGUUGAAAAAUUAUUGCUGCUCUUUGUUCGGAUCUGCCGGUCUGCUGUCAGAGGUGUGUUUAGCCAUUUUGUUCAGUUUUAUUUGAAUUAUAAUUAAAAAAUGGAUUUGUUGGGUUUUACUUAUGCAGUGCUUCUGUUAGUUUUCAGGAGAAAAUUUUAAUUUCC
rnacentral:lncRNA from 1 species